GGAUCUUUAACUUACAUUUAUUUGUCUUCAACAGGAAGGAUGAAGACGGUCUCUAUUCUAGAUCUGCCUGACACUAUGGAACCUCACACUUGUAUUGGUGACAGGACUCCAGCUCUGAACUUACCCCCAGUGUGGACUUCGCUCCAUAGCCUCUCAGCGCUUAAGUGGCCACAUCUGUGCAGUAGGGGAACUACUGCACCCGAUCGCUUUGACUGAGAAGCCACUAAGCACUGAACUGAUGUUGGGCAUGGAGUAUACUCAGCAUAUAAGGUCCAGUCCCUGCCCUCAAAGAGCUCAGUCUUUUGUUUGUAGAAGAUGCUUACUUUUCACACUUUCCCAAAACUAAGAUCAAGCAUCAUGACACUCUGCAUUUGAACAGCCAAAAUUUUUGAAAACUUUUCCUGAAAUAAAAC
rnacentral:lncRNA from 1 species